rfam:Oscillatoriales cyanobacterium 'hensonii' Contig_187, whole genome shotgun sequence.
GGGGCUGUAGCUCAGCAGGAUAGAGCGGUCGCCUCCUAAGCGACAGGUCGCGCGUUCGAAUCGCGCCAGUCCCG